rnacentral:lncRNA from 1 species
UAACUUGACUAACAGGAAAAUCAUACACUCCAACAUCAUCCUAGAUCUAACAAUCCAUUUUCAAAAUAGUAUUCAUACUUUUUAAGAUAACAGCAAGAAGACACAACACCACAUGAUUUAUCCAUAUGCCAUAACUCAAACACCAAACUAAACAACAACAGUUAGAAUUUAAACAAACAUAAAAGAAUAUCCAAUGUCAAGCAAGGAUU